rfam:Tupaia chinensis contig87093, whole genome shotgun sequence.
AGCUUUGCACAGUGGCAGUAUCGUAGCCAAUGAGGUUUAUCUGAGGCGCGAUUAUUGCUAAUGGAAAAAUAAGUUUAUAUACGCUAUAUAUAAAUAUGUUACAUAUAAUACAUCCAUAAUAUAUAUGUGCACAUUAUGUUUAAAUAA